GAUGAACGCUGGCGGUGUGCCUAAUACAUGCAAGUCGAGCGAACAGACGAGGAGCUUACUCCUCUGACGUUAGCGGCGGACGGGUGAGUAACACGUGGAUAACCUACCUAUAAGACUGGGAUAACUUCGGGAAACCGGAGCUAAUACCGGAUAACAUGUUGAACCGCAUGGUUCAACAGUGAAAGACGGUCUUGCUGUCACUUAUAGAUGGAUCCGCGUCGCAUUAGCUAGUUGGUAAGGUAACGGCUCACCAAGGCAACGAUGCGUAGCCGACCUGAGAGGGUGAUCGGCCACACUGAAACUGAGACCCGUUCCAGACUCCUACGGGAGGCAGCAGUAGGAAUCUUCCGCAAUGGGCGAAAGCCUGACGGAGCAACGCCGCGUGAGUGAAGAAGGUCUUCGGAUCGUAAAACUCUGUUAUUAGGGAAGAACAAAUGUGUAAGUAACUAUGCACGUCUUGACGGUACCUAAUCAGAAAGCCACGGCUAACUACGUG
rnacentral:rRNA from 1 species